GGCGGCGUGCCUAACACAUGCAAGUCGUACGAGAAAGCCGGCUUCGGCUGGUGAGUAAAGUGGCGCACGGGUGAGUAACGCGUGGAUAAUCUGCCCUUAAGUGUGGAAUAACGUACCGAAAGGUGCGCUAAUACCGCAUAAUGCCUGGCAACACAAGUUGUCCGGCCAAAGAAGGCCUCUGUUUACAAGCUUUCGCUUCAGGAUGAGUCCGCGUACCAUUAGCUUGUUGGUGGGGUAAUGGCCUACCAAGGCUGCGAUGGUUAGCUGGUCUGAGAGGAUGAUCAGCCACACUGGAACUGAGACACGGUCCAGACUCCUACGGGAGGCAGCAGUGAGGAAUAUUGCGCAAUGGGGGCAACCCUGACGCAGCAACGCCGCGUGAGUGAGGAAGGUUUUCGGACUGUAAAGCUCUGUCGAGCGGGAAGAAGUGUACCAUGGCUAAUAUCCAUGAUAUUUGACGGUACCGCUAGAGGAAGCACCGGCUAACUCCGUG
rnacentral:rRNA from 1 species